UUGACCUCGGAUCAGGUAGGGUUACCCGCUGAACUUAAGCAUAUCAAUAAGCGGAGGAAAAGAAACCAACAGGGAUUGCCUCAGUAACGGCGAGUGAAGCGGCAACAGCUCAAAUUUGAAAUCUGGUCACCUCACGGAGGCCCGAGUUGUAAUUUGAAGAGGAUGCUUUUGGCGAGGUGCCUUCCGAGUGCCCUGGAACGGGACGCCACAGAGGGUGAGAGCCCCGUAUGGUUGGACGCCGAGCCUAUGUAAAGCUCCUUCGACGAGUCGAGUAGUUUGGGAAUGCUGCUCAAAAUGGGAGGUAAACCCCUUCUAAAGCUAAAUAUUGGCCAGAGACCGAUAGCGCACAAGUAGAGUGAUCGAAAGAUGAAAAGCACUUUGAAAAGAGAGUUAAAAAGCACGUGAAAUUGUUGAAAGGGAAGCGCUUGCGACCAGACUUGCGCCCGUCGGAUCAACCGUCGCUUGUCGGCGGCUCACUCCGGCGGGCUCAGGCCAGCAUCAGUUUCCCCGGGGGGAGAAAGGCGGUGGGAAUGUAGCUCCUAGGAGUGUUAUAGCCCGCCGCGUAAUACCUUCGGGGGGACUGAGGACCGCGCAUCUGCAAGGAUG
rnacentral:rRNA from 1 species